GGGGGGCCGGGAGUCAGGGGCAAAAAACUGAAAUGAAAAAACCGUUCAUGAACUUUGGUUUUAUGAUAAUCCAUAACCAUCCAAUCACGAAUGCGUAUUUUGGUCAUGGAUAUGUUAUUUAAUCAAAGUUCAUGAACAGUUCUUUCAUUUCAGUCAUCUUGCUCCUGACCGAGUUUAAAGAUUGUCAUUUUCUUUGGAGGAUCUUUCUGGGCCUUACCUGAUUUACACUCCAUCAUAGAAGUCAUAGACUGGAACACAUUAUAAUUCAACUGAUUUGAAGUUAUCUUGCUCCUGACCGAGUAUAAAGAUUGUCAAUUCUUUGGAGGAUCUUUCUGGGCAUCACAUGAUUUACACUACAUCAGAGGAUUUGAAGUCAUAGACUGGGACACAUUAUAAUUCAACUAAUUUGAAGUUAUCUUGCUCCUGACCGGACUGAGAAUCAAGAUUGUCAUUUUCUUUGAAAGGUUUUUCUGAGCAUCACAAGAUUUACACUCUAUCAGAGAAUUUGAAGUCAUAGACUGAAACACAUUAUAAUCCAACUCAGGCUGAUUUGAAGCGAUAUGGCAGGCCAAGAACCAUUCAUGGGUCAACAGUUACACUGCAUUUCUUUGAACAGUCAAAUGUUAGACAAGGAAUUACCACGAUCCAAGCGUAACUGUCACCUGGUGGAGAUUUUUGCAACACAGAGAAUUGAUAUUGCUGCAAGAUCAAUACAAUCAAGGAGAUCAGAACUGGCAAUGUAUCUUCCUUCCUUUCAAUUUUCCAUUUCUUCAAAGACAGGAAGUUUGGGGGCACACAAGAAAUUGCUCAUGCAGAAUUUAGGAGAGAGAGUUUCUCUAGGUGAACUCCAGGAUUAUGCCAAACAGGUAACUAAAAGAAAAACUCAGUGGGUUUGGGCUCCUCAAAAUCGUUUAGCUUACUGGAAGGACAAAGCAAUACAUGGAUAUGAUGUAAUAGAAGUCUUCCAAGAUAUACAUGUAAGCCAGGGAGCUAGAGGGAGACUUGUGAGAGGAAGGGAAGGACAAAGACCUCCCAAUAAUACAGGGCCCGCAGAACGGCAUCCGGGCUUGGCACGGAGCGGCUUGGCUCGGGGGUCUCGAGACCCCCCACCUUUGUGAAAAAGUAUGUUAAAAACUUACAUUGGAACGCAUAUCAAAGGCCUAAUAUACAAGGGUCCCUCUAGGUCAAAAAACUUGGGGGCCCCUAGGGACCCCUGAGCUGGCAGAACAAACAAAAAUGGGGGGGGGGGUUCCCAAGCAAAUAUUGAGGGGCCUAAUUAAGGCCCCGGCAAAAAACUCAAUUUUUUUUUUUUCAAGCUAAAUGCGAGACCACAUUUACUUAAGAGCGCAAUUUAGUGAAAAAGCCAAUGCGAGAAGUAAAAACAUGAAACCAUCGUCAAGCAUGUCAGCAAAGUUUCUGAAUUCAAUAGUAUGUGGAUUUAUAACAUCAGUUCCGUAAAAGCAAUCGUAAAAGCCUAAUUUGUUCAGAAUAUUACACUUUUAUCGCCAGAAUCGGUAAAAACACUCCUUUCAGUUAUACAGGUGCGCAGAAGAUACGAACUGUCAAUCAAAAUUUUCAUUUAUUAGCGUCAUAGAUGGGUCGUUACUGUGUUACACUAUAUGGACAGAUUGGGUAGAUAUGUAAAUAAUUGAAAUUAUUAUCAGUUAUUGAUGCGAAAAUGAUUCUUCUCCAGCUUCCGGAAACACACCUGGCAAUUUUUGUGGUGUCUCCUCACUACAAAAUUUGUGCAUGAGAUACAGGUUUUGGUUAGUCCGGGACGCAAAAACCCAACUUAGUACAAGUUACCCUUGCCUAUUUAUAUUGCUCUACAAAACCAAUCUGCCACAAACUUUAAAAAUAUAUGAGAGGAAGAGGUGAUAUGGUACUUGCUUGUAUUACAUUAUAAACAGAAAUUUAUUUUUCACCUAUGAAAUUUUCUAAUCUUUAGCAAGUGUCUCAUUUGAAUUAAAUAUUGCUUCAGACCAUGAUUUACGUCAUUAUACAAAAAUAUAGUGACCUGCCAGAGUCACAAAUAAGGUAUCAAAAUAUGCUCAUCUGACCGUAAUAAAAUGCCUAAUUCAAUUUGACCACUAGCAUCAGGGCACAUUUGUACCGGCACAUAGAAUAGGCGCGUCAAAUCUCCUUUGCUGAUAACAAUAAUUAGAAAAUUACCCCUGACCAAAAUUAUAGUAAUAAUGGUCAAGAGGCCAAAAUGAUCAAAACAUCAUGACAAGGACUAACAAGACUGAUAUUUUUUUAAUUACCGUAGCACAAAA
rnacentral:lncRNA from 1 species